rnacentral:rRNA from 1 species
GAUGAACGCUAGCGGUAGGCCUAACACAUGCAAGUCGAACGGUAACAUAAGAGCUUGCUCUUGAUGACGAGUGGCGGACGGGUGCGUAACACGUAUGCAACAUACCUUCUACAGGGGGAUAGCCCAGAGAAAUUUGGAUUAAUACCCCAUAAUAUCACAGAUUCGCAUGUUUCUGUGAUUAAAACUCCGGUGGUAGAAGAUUGGCAUGCGGCCCAUUAGUUUGUUGGUGAGGUAACGGCUCACCAAGACUACGAUGGGUAGGGGGUCUGAGAGGAUGAUCCCCCACACUGGUACUGAGACACGGACCAGACUCCUACGGGAGGCAGCAGUGAGGAAUAUUGGUCAAUGGACGAAAGUCUGAACCAGCCAUACCGCGUGCAGGAAGACAGCCCUACGGGUCGUAAACUGCUUUUGUUUGCCAAGAAACCUUCCCACGUGUGGGGAGCUGACGGUAGCAUUCGAAUAAGGACCGGCUAACUCCG